GACGAACGCUGGCGGCGUGCCUAAUACAUGCAAGUAGGACGCACUUGCGAACGGGUUAGUAACGCGUAGGUGACUACCUAUUAGAGGGGGAUAACUAUUGGCAACGAUAGCUAAUACCGCAUACUAGUAGAUGGACCUGCGUUGUAUUAGCUAGUAGGUAGGGUAAUGGCCUACCUAGGCAACGAGACAUAGCCUACCCGGGAGGGUGGUCGGGCACAAGGGGGACGAGACACGGGCCCGACUUCCUACGGAGGCAGGAGUAGGGCAAUUUCGGCAAUUGGGGGAACCCUGACCGAGCAAAGCCGCGUGAGUGAAGAAGGUUUUCGGAUUGGAAAGCUCUGUUCUUUAGGAAGCGGUACUUAACCAGAAAGGAACGGCUAACUACGUGCCAGCAGCCGCGGUAAUUC
rnacentral:rRNA from 1 species